CUGGAGGGGGAGGGCCGGGGGCACGUGGGGAAGGGCCCGGGGCGGCCGGGCGGGGCGCGCAGGGGCCCGGGGCCGAGGAGUGGACGCACACGCACACCCGCACGCACGCACCCACGCACACACCUGACCACCACCUGACUGUGAACAACCACCACCCGACAAUAACGGACAGGAAAACAAAGACAUGUCCUUCUUAAAGUUUACACACUGAUACCGAAACCAGUCGUCUUUACUGUGCUGCCCAGGGACUCUGCUGGGGGGUGCGGGCUGGGUGGGGGCGGGGGGCAGGCCAGGAAGCCAAAGGAGGGUGUGGGGGGACCGGGGCUCUGGGACCGGGGACAGGUUUGGGGGCAGAGGAGCCUGGGGUGGAGACGGACCGAAGCCCUCCCCCUGCUCCGUGGGGGACAGGUCACUUGGAGAUCUAGUGGCAGAUGGACACGGGGCAUCAGUCCUUCCUUCACGGACAGGGCAACCGAGGCCCAGAGAAAGGUGAUGACCCCAGAGUCAGGUUACCAGGUGGCGCGGAUUAGGGUCAGUCUCCCCCUUCCCGGCCCAGUGCUGUCCGCCACCCCCGGCGGCCUCCCCGGGACCCUCCCCCUCUGUCCACCACCCACCACCUGUGGUCUCCCGGGGCUGCGGGACUUGAGAAUCAGGCGGGUGCUUUUCCAUUCUAGAAAGCCCCGUGGCCACGCCCCUGAGCACAGAGCUGUGAUUCAUCCUGUGGGGGGCCUCGCCGCCCCCCCCCCCAACGCCAGUACCGGGAGAGGUGGGAGGUCCUGCUGACAGGGGAGGAGCAGACCUGGGGAUGGUCCACCAGCCCCCUUCCAGUGUCUUCCAAGUAGCCUGGGAGCUGCUGAGGGGUCAGGAGAGCAGCUGGGCUGGCAGCCACUGUGUCUCAGGUGCAGGGCUCCACACCCUGGCCCACCCCCCACCUCUCUGGGCCUCCAGGACCCCUCCUCGUCCCACAAGCGCAGCCGAGAACGCUAAUGCCUGGGAGCAGCAGGGAGGUGGGGUCUCAUGGGGGGGCCCUUCCAGCCUCCGCCCCCACACCCUGGCCUCCCACCUACCUGACCCCCUGUCAUGGGCUCUUGGGGCAGCGCCUCAGCCUGUCUGGAGCAAGGAGGGCUUUUGGGGGCUUUCCACUCACCCCUUCGUGGCUGCCCAUCCCCACCCCCACCCUCUGGCCUGAGGGGCACCCACGUUGCCAUGGAGAUGGCCACUCCUCCCUUGCUGACCCCCACCCAACAUCGAACAAAGCACAAACGGCGGUGAGCCCCCCCACCCCCGCCGGGAAGGAGCAGGCUGGGUUGGAGGGGCAGCCCAGGGGAGGGAGCCUGGGAGGAGCCCCCCCUCUUCCCACCUGCUCCCGUUUUGCAGAGGAAGAAGUGGGAGGGGGCAGCGAGGGAGGGGUCUGGUGAUGUGGCUGCCAGGUGAGGGGUCAGUCACACUGCUGAGGACAGAGGCCAAGAGCUUGGGGCUUCGUGCUCAGCUUUACAGGGAGGUUUGGGUUCCUGAGGGAGGGAUCCCUGGGGAGACGGCGGGCCCCCUGACAUUGGCCUGGGCUCACCGGGGUGGGGGGUGGGGCUGCAGCAGGAGCCACAGUCCCCCACCACCCUUGCCAUUCCAUCAUUCCUGGUUGAAAAUGACCUCUAGAAACCUCAGAAUCACUUCCAGGGGUGGGGGGAGGCCUUUAAAGGCCAGGUCCCCUUCUUAACCGCCAGAGUUUUCCACUCCAGGAGGUGAACCAACAGUUCACAACCCAGGUCACACGGAUCUUUGAGGCAGAAUAGGGUCUCAAACUCAGGCCUCUGCCUGCUGGGGCCAGGCUGCCUCCCUCAGCUGCCCAGGCCAGGCCCCUGCCCCUGCUCCAGGGAAGGCCCCACCGCACGGUAGCUCAUCCUGGGGGUUUUCCUGUAUCCCUGUCCUGGGUCCGAUUCAGGAUCACGUUCCCUGGGGGCGGGGGGCAAAAUCUUCACAAAAAACAAAUGACAUUUAUGUUGAGGAGAACAUGGCUGGCCGGGGCCCUGUGUUUGUAAUGGCAGGACCUGGGGCCACGGCCUGGGCAGGCUAGGAGGGCAGGCAGAGGUGGGGGGCUGGGGAGGGGGGUACUGGGGGGGCCCCGGGGGAGGGGCUGGUGGAGUUGGGGGGAGGGGUGAGCCAGCUGGAGCAGAUGUGGGUGCGACACCCUGGACCUCCGGGGACCUGCCUUGGUCGUGCCUGGACGUGCUGGAAUCGCCAGAGGAAAUUCCCUGGGUGCCUGUCUGUUGGAGCUUGUGGCCUUCCAGAAGUGAAAGGCAGAGGCCUGGCAGGAAGGAAGCUCGGCCUGCUGUGGCCACCACCUCAAGGGGCCGGGGCUGGUUCAUCCCCCACCCGCCGCCCCGGCAGGAGGGGCCUGCCUUGGCCCCUCGCCUCUCACUGCUCCCCCUCCUCCCAGGGCAGGGCUGAGAGUCUGGGCCUGGCCGAGGGUCUCUGAUGUUCCCCACCCCCGUGUCCCGGACUUUUAGCAGAGGAGGAAGCACAGGGAGGAGGGAGAGGGAAGGAAAGCUUGUAGGGUCUCAAAACCCGUUAAAGACAGACUGAGGCCAGAAAGGGGGGCAGGCAUCGGGGGACAAGCGCGGUAGGUUAUAAGGCGCUUACGUGCAGCGACACGGGACAGCCACAAGGUCUCUUCCACAGAUGGACACUGUGCAGAGAAUUAAAAUAGGGCGAUGGAGUGGGGAGGGGCUGGGGAAGCCCUCGGAGCCAAGCUCUGAACAACGAGAGCCAGAGGAGUAGCCCGCUGGCCAUGUGAGGAGGGGAUGGGAGGUAGGGGAGGACGGCUCAGAAGGGCCCGAUGUCCCCAAGGACCUCCUGGGAUGCCCCCCACUGCUUUGCCCCUGCCCUGCGAGGACCCCCAGAGUCGGCAGCAUCCCACCCCGUUCCUGGCGGAGCAGGGCCCUCUCUCUGCCGGGUGCUGGCUGGGUGGUUAAGGCCCGGGGAAGCCCCCUGGGGGUCUGACCCCCACCGGGCCUAAGGGGCAGGGCUGCAGCUUGCCCGGGAGCCCUGUGUGCCAGUUAGGGUCCUGGGGCUGUUCCCCUCUCUGCUAAGACUUCUGCUCCACGGCCACCUCAGCCCCAGGAGCUGCCAGGCUCCUCCACCCUCCAGCCUGACCGUCCAGCCUCCCACCCUUCAGACAGAACCAGUACUUGAGGCUCUGUGCUCUCACGCCUGCCUCCGAGGCCCCCAUUAAAGGUCCAUCACUGCUGCUGAGCAGUGGGGGGAGGAGAGGGGUUGGGAUGGGGUGGGGGGAGGGUCUGGGCGGCCUCCCCUUCCCCUGCCCCUCCCCAAAGAAGCACAGGGCUGGGCAGGGGCGAGGGGUCCACCCUCGCUCGCUCCUUCCCUCCCCGAGGAGCCACCAGCCCCUCGGCCCUGCCUCGCGGCUUGGCACCUGGUUUGGGUCCUGCAGAGUUGGGCUCCGGGCCCCCGGGCUACGAACCUGUGAACCUUCGCUGUGUGGACCGGACCUUUUCCUCCUUGGGUGGGGGGGGAUGUACGCUCCUUUUCUUCUUUUCAGGGUGGGGGGGGUGACUUCAUUUAUUUUCUCUUCCCUGUAUCUGCCUCUCCCUCCCAAUUUCCUAUUUUAAACUGAAUGGCACGAAAUUGUUUUCCUCAACUUGGAGAUUCCUGUAUGGAGAGAAUCAAUUUCUAUAUUUGCAAUAAAUUUCUUAUUUAAAACA
ensembl:lncRNA